ensembl:lncRNA
CGCCGCCGUCCUCAUUUUGGUAGUUUUUCUUAAAUGUGCUGCUCUAGUGUGAUGUGCAUCUGUCCAUAGGGGGCGCUACAGCAUGAGGCGCUUUGUUGUGAUGACGUUUAGUUUAGAUGAAUAAUGUGAUUUAAAAUGUGUAAAUUACAACAAAAUGAGCCACAGAGAUGAGAACCAUAGAGACACAAGCUCAACAGGACUGAUUUAAAAUGUCCGCCCACUGUUUCCCUCCAGAAUAUUCAGCGUGAGAAAAAGUGUGUAGAAGUUUUCCUCUUUAUUGAGUAGAUGUGGACAUAUUUUAAAGAGAUUAUACACACAAAUGAGUUACACAGAAAAUGAUUCAAAAACACACAUUCAAAACACAAUUCACACAAACCCUCAAACACCAGUCUACUCAAAUAUAAAACUGUUAAAUGAAGUGUUUUUCAGACGUAGAAAGUGGUGCAGUGUGAGAAGCUCCAGCAGACGAGAAAGUCCCAAAGUUUAAUGUUUGUAGAAAAAAAAUACAUCUGUGUCUUUAUGAGAUUAAGUUUACGGCAAAUAGACGGAUGUAUACAGACAAGAGAGUCGACACAGGACUAAACCAGGACUAAACCAGGACUAAACCAGGUCUAAACCAGGACUAAACCAGGACUAAACCAGGACUAAACCAGGACUGAACCAGGACUAAACCAGGACUAAACCAGGACUAAACCAGGUCUAAACCAGGACUAAACCAGGACUAAACCAGGACUAAACCAGGACUAAACCAGGACUGAACCAGGACUAAACCAGGACUAAACCAGGACUGAACCAGAACUAAACCAGGACUAAACCAGGACUAAACCAGGUCUAAACCAGGUCUAAACCAGGACUAAACCAGGACUAAACCAGGACUAAACCAGGACUAAACCAGGACUAAACCAGGACUAAACCAGGACUGAACCAGGACUAAACCAGGACUGAACCAGGACUGAACCAGAACUAAACCAGGACUAAACCAGGACUAAACCAGGACUAAACCAGGACUAAACCAGGACUAAACCAGGACUAAACCAGGACUAAACCAGGACUAAACCAGGACUAAACCAGGUCUAAACCAGGACUAAACCAGG